rnacentral:lncRNA from 1 species
UUGGGGUUUUGUAAAGUUCAUCUCUGACGAUUAUACUGAAGAGAUGUACAUAACGCAGAAGAUGCAGUGAGUUUAUUGAUGGUUUCUGUGCUUGGCCAAGUUACAGUGCCGUCAUCCAGCCUUCAAGCAUGGUUCAGAAGCCAUGAACCACAAAUCAGCAUGUUUCCUUCCAGUUUCCAAUGAGCACUCUGACAGCAUCACUUAGCAUGCCAGUAUUCAACAUUGUGCAGAUCAUCUCUGUAAAGAUGGCUGUGUUGCUUCAGUUGCCACAUCUCUACGUAUGUUCUUCCUGUUAGCAAAGGCACACUGUGACAGCAUAUACUUUCUACAUGCUAAUACAUGCACAGUAUUGUUCAGGGAAAGACAUAUGCAAACCUAUCAGCUUCCAAAGUCGGCAACAUCCUGCUGUCACUACAGUCUCAGCACCUACCAGCUCCCACUCUGUCAGCAACAUCCUGCUGUCACAUGUCCAGCUACUGGUACUUGAAGUUACUGUGUGCUUGUACAUUCUCAGCACCUACUAGCUCUCACUCUGUCAGCAACAUCCUGCUGUCACAUGUCCAGCUAUUGGUACUCGGAGUUACUAUUUGCUUGUACUUUCUCAGCACCUACCAGCUCCCACUCUGUCAGCAACAUCCUGUCCAGCUACCGGCACUUGGAGUUAUUGUGUGCUUGUACAUUCUCAGCACCUACUAGUUCCCACUCUGUCAGCAACAUCCUGCUGUCACACCUCCAGAUAUGUGGAGUUAUUGUGCUUUUACAGUCUCAGCCAGUAUUGGAUUGCAAGUUGUCUUAUGCUGCUACAACCUACACAUUUAGCAUUCUCUUGAACCUUGAGGAACCACCAUAUGAACAAAGAGACUCUGAAACACUCAUAAUAAACCUGUCACGGUGGUUUGUUGAACAUUCGUAUUAUUUGGAGGACUUGCAAUUAGCUCAUAUAGUCAACUAGCUAUUCCAGUCCUCUGGAAGAGUUAGUUGGCUGCUUGAGGUUAUUCUAUACUAGUAGCAUGCCUUUUUUGUGCACGGUCAAGAGUAGAUCGAGAAAGCAGUUGUUUUUAAGGGCAAAACAAUUGUUCUUGUUCCUUGAAAAAGUUGGUCAAAACAUUUUCCCAACCAAUUUUUUUAUUUAAACAGUAAGAUAAAGGGCAACAAGGACUGU